GAAAAAUUAACUCAUAGGGUCUCUUUAUUCUCACGCCAAGGCCGAGUUAAAGAAAACCCAACCGAGUCCAUCACAAAAUUCAAAUAAUCUCUCAGUGUCUCCUUCUUGCUAUUCCUCCAUUACAAAUACAAUCUAAGCGACAAUUCCACUUCUCUCAGCACUAACUAGGGUUCGCUAUUCCUCCUUUUUUCAUUCUCUCUACCCUACGAUCUUCCUCAUGGCUUAGGAAAGUCGUUGAAUUUCUCCAAUAUGUAUGGUCAAGGGAGUUUUAAUCCCCAGUCCGGUGGCCAAGGUUCUCAAACACCCAUUGCUCCUUCAUACUCUCACCGUCCGCCUCCUCUUCCUCACAAUUUCCAACUAGGUCCUCCUCCUCACACUGGUCAGCCAAGUUUGCCCCCGCCCCAACAUCAACUUGCACCUGCUGGGACGGCAAAUGCUGCCCAGUCUUGUUUACACUCUUCUACAACUGUUCGUGGAAUUGCUCCUUUCCAGCAUGUUUAUGCACCUGCGCAGCAUUCUUCCUAUUUAGCAUCGGGCCCUCCUCCUCCCCCUCCCUUUGGUUUGCAUCGUCUUGAAAUGUUACAGGCCCCGCUGCCUCCUAGAGGUUUACCUCCUCCUCCUCCUCCUCCACCACCACCUUCUCAAGGUCAGAGGUUUUAUAAUUCGCUGCCACAACAGCUAGCUGGUGUGCAGGGUCUGCAGCAUAUCCCCCCUCCACCUCCCCCACCUCUUCUUCCAACUUCCAGUUUCUCAACAUCUGCUCCCUUUGGGAGUUCUGCUGAGUCUAAUGGUGCCAAUCCUCAAAUGCUUUCAAUGGCUUCCCUACCACCACCCCCACCCCCACCACCAACCUCUUCUGCACCGCUGAUUCCACCUUCUCCUCCUCAGUCUAACUCUCACAUGUUGCCAGUAUCUGCACCUGUCCUAGCUGGUUCCUAUCCACUGCUUCACUCUGAUAUUGCUUCCAACUCCAGCAUACCUUCUGGUGAUAAAUUGGGCACUACUGGUUCUGUCAAUGAAGCUAUCCCUCUCAAUCAGGGUGGACAUAGUGUUCCUAUGCAUGAUGGCAACAUAUAUCUGGAAGGUGGAAGUGGCACUGAGGUAGAUUGUAAAUUGGAUGAAGCAAAGAAUUUUUCACAACCCAGUCAUUUGAUGGUUGCCGCUGGAUCCCACAUGUCUGCUGAUUCUGAUUCCGAUAUGGAGAUGGAAGAUGAUAUUACCCAGUCUGACAAUGACCAGGCAGCAAAUCACCCUAUUGGAGAUCUAACUCACUGCAAUCAUUUGAUAGCUGGAGACUCUGAUAUAAGAGAGCAGUUGCGUGAACUGCAGAGUUCAGCACAAUCUGAUGCUGCCACUUUGGUUUUAUCAGUCCCUGGUUCCUCCAGGCUGGAUAAUGGUCAACAAGGUCAAUCUUAUACCCACACACUGUUUUUCUCUACAUUUUCUGAAGUUCAUAGCCCAGUCAUUAAUUCAGCUGGAGCUGAUGAAAAAAGUUCAUCAAGGGCCAUGGCAGCUGCUGGAUGUGAGAAUUCUGAUAAGUAUUCUAGUGAAGUUUUAAAAGGAGGCAGCCCAUUCAGACUUCUGCAGGAUAAUGCUUCUGAGGAUAGCUCAGAAAAUAAUGACGAGCCCUAUUUGAAAAAUACCAUUCCUAAAACUGCUUCAAAAUUAGUUACAGUUGGCUCUGAAGAUUUGCAGCAGCAACAGCCAUCCUAUUGUUUGAGUCACUUUGCUACUGAUAAUGUGUAUGGUCUAUCUGGGAAGAUAGGUUCUUCAUCUGUGCUCCCACCAGAUAUUCUGGACUCAAAUCAGUUGUCUUGCCUGCCCAAUUUUGCAGUAUCAAAAAAUUCAACUCUCCCUAAUACUUAUCCAGCUAGUUUUGAGCUGCCACUCAACUCCAAAUUCAGUUCUGAUGUUUUAAGACAAGAAAAGGUUGCAUCCUAUACUAGCAUGUAUGAUCAAUCUUCAAGUUGGAACUGUAUUUCACAUGAUGGACAAGAUGCCAGUGUUCGAUCAAGACAGCCAAUCUCUUCUCCCAGUUCUGCUAGGGAUGUUGCACAAAUUAUUCCUAGGUCUGGUAGUGAUCAGUAUGAUCCAUUUUUGGACAGCAUUGAGCCAACUUCAAACUCAUUUAAGAGACUUGACCACAUUCAGAAGUGGGAAUCCAGUAACACUGACAUUAUGCCGAGGCUUAGUGUUUCAGACAAAUCAUUGGAUGUCGAAGAAAACAAUAAGAAAGAGGUUAGAGGCAUUGCUCUUUCUACAUCCUUUGAUAAUGAGGAGUUUGGUGAGACUGCAGAUGCAGAAGUCGGUGACGUUGAGGAUCAGAGCCAAAGUAAUCCUGUUGUCGUGAAUGUGAAUAUGGGUGAUAUGGAGAUCGAUCAGGUUAAGUCUCCAAGGAAGAGCAAAAAUAGCAAGGACUCCAGAUCAAUGAAGCUUUUCAAGGUUGCCCUUGCAGAUUUUGUGAAGGAGGUUUUAAAGCCAUCAUGGCAACAGGGUAACAUGAGCAAGGAAGCAUUUAAGACUAUUGUCAAGAAGACAGUUGAUAAGGUUGCAGGAGCGAUGAAGAGCCACCAAAUACCCAAGUCCAAGGCGAAAAUAGAUCAUUAUAUUGACUCAUCACAAUGGAAAUUGACAAAACUUGUGAUGGGUUAUGUUGAUAAGUAUGCCAAAGGGUAAAAGUUGAUACCAGGAUGGUUUCUGGUUGAAGGCAUUGAUUUUGCUUGCUUUGUGCGACUAUAGUGCCACCGGAGCUGCAAAACAACCUAGAAUUGGUUGUAGAGCUGUGAGAAUAGGUGGGAAAAAAGAGAGCUGGCAUUAGUAGAUUCCUUCAUUUUGUGAAGCUUGCACCUGCCAGAAAAAGAACAUAUUAAGGUCUAUGACCAGGGGAACUCAGUUACAGCGUAUUCCAACUUCAAGGAAAUUCUUAGGAGGCUCCAAAAUGUUCAUACUGCAAUAGAGAGGUCAUUGAGCAAUCCCUUUCAAGAGUUUACCUUAACAAACAUGAUUCCCAGUGUUGGAGCAGAACCGUUCUCCAGAGCUUACAGUCAGUCUAGUUAGCAGUAACCUCUCGGGUGAGAUCUUAUGGCUUGUUCAUGUUUUCUGUUCUGUGAGUAGCAUCUUUCAGUAGAAUUGGAUUGGUAUGGUUACCAAUGAGAUUAAUGAAUUUAUUGAGUUACAAGAUUGAGAUUUAUUAAUUUAUUUUGAAUGCAUGAAUGUCAA